rnacentral:tmRNA from 1 species
GGGCUAGACAUGGUUUCGACUAUAUUAACUCGAUAUGAGUAGCAUGUUCGUGUGAGUUACGACAAAAACUCAAAAAUUUUAGACGCAAAUAAUACAAAUUAUUCUCCAGCUUUCGCUAAAGUAGCGUAAGUUUAAUUUUUGGAGCCAGCUUUUAUGUGUAGCUAUCGCAUAUAUUUUGGGUUGGUCAUAGUCUGAUAGCUUGUUGUGUAGGUGUUGGUCUCAUCUAUACAAGACACCCUUGACCUUUGUUUGUAUGGCAUUUGGAAGCUUCGCUGCACAAGACGAGAUAUAAGCUUUGCUAAGCAUGUAGAAGCUUGUGUUAGGUUGGUUUAGGACUGGGGUUCGAUCCCCCACUGGUCCACCA